rnacentral:rRNA from 1 species
CAGUGGGGAAUAUUGGACAAUGGGCGCAAGCCUGAUCCAGCAAUGCCGCGUGUGUGAAGAAGGCCUUCGGGUUGUAAAGCACUUUUAUCAGGAGCGAAAUACUACCGGCUAAUAUCCGGUGGGGCUGACGGUACCUGAGGAAUAAGCACCGGCUAACUUCGUGCCAGCAGCCGCGGUAAUACGAAGGGUGCAAGCGUUAAUCGGAAUUACUGGGCGUAAAGGGUGCGUAGGCGGUUCGUUAAGUCUGUUGUGAAAUCCCCGGGCUCAACCUGGGAAUGGCAAUGGAUACUGGCGAGCUAGAGUGUGUCAGAGGAUGGUGGAAUUCCCGGUGUAGCGGUGAAAUGCGUAGAGAUCGGGAGGAACAUCAGUGGCGAAGGCGGCCAUCUGGGACAACACUGACGCUGAAGCACGAAAGCGUGGGGAGCAAACAGGAUUAGA